GGUGAUGUGAUGGCAUGUGUGAGUUGAAUCCAAAGUUGAGGUCAGUUCUAAAGUUACACCCCACUUG